rnacentral:rRNA from 1 species
ACGGAGGGGGCUAGCGUUGUUCGGAAUUACUGGGCGUAAAGCGUGCGUAGGUGGUUUGUUAAGUCUGAUGUGAAAGCCCUGGGCUCAACCUGGGAAUGGCACUGGAUACUGGCAAGCUAGAGUGUGGCAGAGGGUAGUGGAAUUCCUGGUGUAGCAGUGAAAUGCGUAGAUAUCAGGAGGAAUACCGAUGGCGAAGGCAGGUCCCUGGGCUGACACUGACGCUCAUGCACGAAAGCGUGGGGAGCAAACAGGA